UAAAAAACUGGAACAACUAAAUACUCCUUCUUUACAUAUAUUAACCAAAAAUCUUAACAUUUUGUAUGACCUCCUUUGGCCCUCAUAACAGCUUGCAUCUUUGCUGGGAUUGUUCUUAUUUACUUUUCGACAGUCUCUUUUGUUUAUGAGUUUCAAAGCUGUUCCCAGAGACUUGAUUUGGAUGAAAUUUUUGUGCGAUCUAUUUUUGAAUUCAAUCAAUCCAUUUGUUCAAUGACCUGCUUCGUUUGCUGCCUCUGCGACCUGGCCUCAGAUGAGCGGGAGACAAUGGAUAGAUGGAUGGAUUCAAGUCUGGACUUUGACUUGGCCAGUCCAUCAGUUCCAGUACUCCGGAUUCCUUUUUCUUUGUCGAGUAGUCUCUGCACAGUUUUGAAGUAUGAUUGGGGUCAUUGUCUUCUUGGUCUGUGAAUCCACAACCAAUCAGGUUCAAUCUAGAAGGGAUUCCAUGAUGCACUAAGAUGAUGUGGUCGAAUUUCUUGUUCAUGAUACCAUGGAUUUGAACUAAUUUGUCCAUGUCGUUUACACAAAUGGAACCCCAUACCAUAAUGGAAUCUCCACUGUGUAUCACUAUGGAGAUUCAAAACAUUCUCCAGCUUUUCUGUGGACAUAAAGACCGAAGAGUUCAUAUUUGUUUGCAUUGUGCUAUUUGAAGUUUUUAUUAGUGUAUAGUGCUAAGAUUGUGCUUUAAAGAGCAUGAAUGAAACAGCAGUUUUAAAAUAGUUUGACUUUACUAUUACUAACAUUCUUGAGCUUCUGUGACUCACAUCUUACUCAUAUCUUUCUCAUCACGCAAACUUUUCCAUUGUUGCACUUUCUCAUCACUGAAAGCAGUGUUUGCUUUCUGUUUCCUGAUAUAUGCUUUGAAUUUUCACAGUGCUUCAACAAACCUGUAGCUCAGUUAUUGGCAGAUGAAUAAACUGCAAAUAGCUUAAUCACAAUUUUGGAUUUUCUCACAGAUGAUUUCAUACAUGUCUAACAGCAUAAAUCGCAGUGUGCGUACAGGGCUGACAUCUCUGUAUUCGAAAAUAAUCUUGCCACUGUUGCACAUACUGUAACACCUGUACUAAUGCAAAAAAUGAAAUAGAUACCACACCAUCAGACAGAGUGUGGGUGAAGGCUAUGCUUAAUUUCCUCUGCACUAGUUGUUGGACCACUUCCGAUAUGUCAACUUGAAUUUGGUGUUCGCUUGCGAUGGAGAUGCUCUGAUGUAUCUUUUGAUGAGCUGUUAUUUUGUAACCAUGAAGGGGGUGUUUGCUUUCUGUUCAGUAUUGUCUUUCUUUCCACAGAGACAGGAACUCCUCAACCAUGAUGCAAAAAGGUUUUAUUCUUAUUUUUAUACAGAUUAUUUGGAUGUUAUCCACCUCCUCAGGAGACAGUAAGUAACUAACUAAACCAUUAAUAUCAGAAUAUAUUUGAAAUACAUUUUUGUAAACUUACUUUGGCUCAGGGUUUACAUUUUUCAAGCAACUAUUCAUAUUUAACAACUUAUGUUUUAAAAGCAGCGCUUCACCUUCAUUUCUUGUUGGGAUGUAAAGCUGUGAUACCUUGUCAAGAUUACAGCCGGGACUCAGACUCUUUCAAAUGGUUUUACACGAAGAAUGAAACUAGCAAGCAAAUCCUGAUAUUUUUUCAAGACAAGACUGGAGUACAACGCCAUCAACGCAGUCAUCCUAGAAGAAAAGUUGCCAACAAUCGAUCCUUGGUCAUCGGGUCUUUUACUGAGAAUGAUCAAGGAAUGUACUGGUGUGAAAACUGUUAUAAAGACAAGUGCCUGAGUCAGCAGCCCACAGUCAUCAGAGUCACGAAAGAAAUUCUGCAUGAAAUUCAACAGACAUUUUAUAUUACUGCAGGCAGCAGUUUUGAGCAUUCAUGUCCAAGUGAGUUUAAUAAAUUGGACCUAAAAUGGAUUUUUGAACCGAGUAGUGCUGCUGCUAGCAGGAAAUCAGUAUCAAGACCUGAAAUAGUGACUUCCAACAAGUCUAUACAUAUUGUAAAUGUCAGCAGAGCAGAUGCUGGGAACUAUACCUGCUUGAUGAGGAAAUGUGGUAAACACUGGCAGAAGCUACUUACUGUCAACCUGUGUGUAAUUACAGGUGAGGAACGAGCACACACACACAAAUUCUUUCACAUAAAAAAAACAAAGAAAGAUGUAACUUGCAAUCUUUUUUUGCUGCAUUACAGUUCACCACAAUAAGGAUUCAUGCAUCUCUUGUGCUGUGAUGUGUGAUGUGGACUUCAAAUGUGAAGGUAGGCACAACGACUAUAUCAGUGGAUGUAGAUGCAAAUGGAUCCUUAAGCUGCAGAGCAGAACAGAACUUUGAUGGAUCCACCACAGUUACCAGCACUCACGUACCAUCAACUGCAUUCAACAAAACAGCAGGUAUGCCUGCAGAGCCUGAACAUCUGAUGCCAGUUAUUUGUGGAUUACCAGUAGUCCUUGCAUGUCUCAGUUUAAUGGCACUUUUAAUCUUUUACUUCAGAUCAAGAUUUUGGGCAGCAUGUCCCAUUCACCUUUGUAGCUGUGGCUCGAAUGGCAGGGUAGAAGAGGAGACUUCAGUGGUUUAUUCAUCAAUCAUCAUCAGGACUACCGCUGAAGCAAACACUCAUGUGACUUACAAUGAUUGUAUUUAUAGUGAAAUAAAUGUAUAGAGAAAAUGUCCAAGUAUAAGAUGAUCAGUAAAUGACACUUGUCAUUAUACUUUAAUUCUUUUUGUCAUAUGAUUUAGUAAUUGAUUCCUUCAUUGCUUAAUACAUUACUUGUAAUUCAUAAGAAAACCUGUAUGUGACUUUGCCCACCAUGUGGGCAGUCGGUGGUAAGCAAAGUCAUGAAAUUUCUGAGGAAAUUCUGAAGCACUGAGCUUCAGUUUUCCAGUUUUCAGACUUACUAAUAAUUGCUGAUUGAAUUCUUUGCAUAAUAGAAAAAUGUUUUUUGUUUUUUUUUACUUACCAGACCUCAGAAAUAUCCUCCCUAAAACAGGAAAGAAGGGUGUUUCAUACUAUAUCAGUCCACAACAAAAAUAAAAGGCUUUG